GGUCCUGAGCCUGCAGGGAGCUUUCGGAAAGACAUCGCCCCCUCCCCCUGAGUCCCCGGCAGCUUCUGAACGCUGCGCGGGUCUCCGCCCCGCGGGAACCAGGAUUGCGAUCCGUUCCUCGGCGGCUAGAGGUUGAGGCCGGAGGCUGACACCACCAGGGACCCAACGGAGGGUUUAUUCUGCCCAGCUUCACAUCUGGGGGUCAAAUCGCAUUAAAGCCAAACCACCAACGGGGCAGGGAGCAGGUGGUUAACUGCACAAAAUAAAGUUACAGAAAAAACCUCGUUUUGCAGGCGAGUGACUUAGUUUCCCUCUGUAGCUUUGCCGUCAUAAAAAGCAAGUCCCUCCCCUCUCCUGAGCUGGAAGGCGGGGAAAGGUUAUCAGCGGCUCCAGAUGGACGCCCGUAGGCAGGGUCAGUUUAGGAAGACCGGCAGGCAGGCGUAUUAGGCGCGCGGGCUCCCAUCCUCAUGGCUAUGGGAAGCAAGUUUCCCUCAUCCCUUCUUGGAAGCCUAAAUCGCACGAAGGAGGAGGACACAUCCACAAACUUGAGAGCGGGUGAGAGAAAAAAAAAAUAGAAGGAAAAGAAAAGAGUCCACGUAAACAAGAAAGGAGGCUGUUGCAGGCUCUCCCUGCAGCAAACCCCAAACGAUCUCGUUGCAGGGCGCCCACAAAAUCCCGGCUAUAAUUGAGUGUUUUCUUUGAGGUUUUCUGACCAUGUGCUUUUUACCAUGGUUACUAUGACUCUGAUUCCAGAAGCUGAAUAUUCAUCAUGAUCCCAUCCCAACCUUUCAGAAGGCUUAUCUCGUUGGUCCUUACAAAGAAGGAGAAUCUAAAGGGGGCUCCUCUGUGCCAGUGAUUUUAACCUGCUCCACCUUCCAGUGACCUGCCACAUGCUCCUUCUUACUUUAUAGACAUCUGGGAAUUCCAUACAUGCCUUAAACUCCAAUUACACACCUUCUUCAAAGGACACGUGCUUUGAUUUGCUAAGAACAUUAAGUGGGCUCACGUCCUUAGGCCUUGAGACAAAAGCGAGGGGAAAAUGGAAAAUGUAUCCCAUGUCGUUUUUUUUUUUUUUUUAAUUUAAACUGGGUCUAUCCUUUGCUGUCCAGUAAAUAAAGAUAGUUAAUAAUCCUCCUAUUUGCACAUUCGUGGGCUCUCAAAGAGUUGGAAGGUUUCUGAGAAAUAGUGGGAUUGCCGGCUUUGAGAAAAUAUGAAGAAACCGAUUUCUCCUUCCACUUUGCCAGUGCACUUUCCUUCCACUUUCACUGGUGCUGGGGGCGGCGCACUCUUUACGACAUAUAAGCGGAAAAUUCUGCAAAAGUGGCCCCCGGGGAUCCCCGCCCGACCCCUGUCUGUCGCUAAUGUGGGCCUGUCUCCGGAAAUUCGAGGUUGGGCCUUUGCCUGAAUCUGUUGCUAUUGCUCCCCUUGCUACCGCUGACACUUGGCACCGCCGCCUCCUAGCAGCGGCCAGACGCGGGGCUGGGGGCCUUCCACGCAAACCGAAGGAGAUACGGACAUCGUCAUUCUCCCCACCGCGCGAGCCGGGCCCGCCACCCACGCAGGGGAGACCGUGCCCGUGCCCCUCUCCCGCGCCUGCCGCAGGUGAGACCCUCGCUCCCCACGGAGUUCUGUUUGGGUUUCCGUGGCGUUUGUUCCCCGCAGGUUUGUUUAUUUUUCUUCAAAUUACAGAUGCAGGGAAAACCGCCUGACAUCAUGAGAGCGGGACAAACGCUCACUUUGAAGGAUUCCUGGGCAGGACUUCAAGUGAAAUCAUAUGCCUGAGAAGAACUUGAUACCGGUCUAGAGAAAAUAACCAGUUCUGACUUUGCCAAACCAUGGAAUGUGCAAAAUGCUCUACUUUUUUGCAAGAGGCCAAAUGUCCCUUAAAAAGCUCCAUUAUGAAUAUGAACCUUAAGACCGAAGGGUCAAGAAGCUUGUGCCGUUGUUGAGUGUGGGAAAAAAUUUACACACAUCGUGCAAGUUUCUGCUCCUUAACAUUAUUUUAUUAAUAAUACGUUCCACUUUGGGGAGGGGAACCUGUAACUGUGCGUGAAUUAUCAUCUGGACAUGUGCUUCUGUGAACAAAAGGGGAAAUGUGCAUAUGGGUAAAAAAAUUACUGCUUUCUUAUAACUAAAGGCUAUCAAUCUGACCAACUUAUAAAUAAAAGUAAUCAAUAGCACAGUAAAGGAAACAUUAAAUUUUCUACAAUUUACCCAAGACAAUUUAAUACAAUACUUUCCCCUAGCAAAUGCAUUCUGAAGGAAAAAGAUCCCAAGUGAACCAACACAUUAAUUGGAAAGCCUUAGCUUCUUAUUUCCGAAAACAAGAGGUAAUUCAUUCUAUGUGUUCUUUAAAUAAGGGUAGGUAGCAAAAAUAAAAUGAAAUAACAUAAAAUCAAAAGAAGAUAUAAUGGUGGAGGAAAAGAAACAGGUGGCUUCAUUUCUAUUCUAAAAAAGAAUUUCACGAUUUAUGUCUUGUGUAUACAGGGGUAGGGAUUAGAAUCUGCAAGCUGGAAACUGCAUUCCAGUAGUUAAUAUUUUUCAUUGUGCAGUCGCCUCAUUCAAAAUAAAAUUACCACCUUUUUCAUUCAUUUAUUUCUCUGAAAAUCUGGGGGGAAACAUUACCUUCAGAUUAGUAUUUAAUAUUACUAUAAAUAUGGCAUUUGCUUUUCUCCAAAGUGUUUCCCCUUAUGAAAAAAGUAGAAAAAGCAAAACACAUUAAAAAAAGAAAGAAAUAAAAGAAAGGCAAAUGGAGAGCUACCUUUCUUUGACACAUCUAGUUCUUAUAUCCAGAGUUAAGAUAACAAUUACCUUCUCAGCAGUCAUGGCCAGCUCCAUCCUGGUGUACCUUAAGAAAUCUGAAAUAUCAAAUAGUCAGACCAAGCUAGUGAACAAGGAGACUCCCCAUGAAUAAUUUAGAAAAUGGAGGUGGUUGGAUGAUACAUACAAAAAAGAAUUACCAACCUAAUGCUUUCCCUCAUCCUCCUAGGGCACCCUCCUUACAUUUCUAACCUGCCUUACACACAACACACACACACCCCCAACAAAUACACCAACACAUAAUCGCCUUCCCUUUCUGUUAUUUGCUAAAGGACUAUCAAAAUAAAAAAAUAAUAAUACUUCUCCAAGCUUUCACUAACCUUUUAAUACAAGUCAAUGCUGCAGACUCCUUAUUGUAAAAUAUAGUCUGAAAUAUUAACAAUAAAUUCAUAAUAUUCUUAUGUCAGCAUUCUAUGGUGCUGUGUGAAGAAGAAAACAAAAACCUUCAGGCAAUAAAAUAACUUUGACCUGAGCUAAGCAAAAACGAUCUGUUUGGAUACAUACACUUAUUAGUCAUUGUUUGAAACAGGCACCAAAAUGAUUUUCCAGUUUGAAAGCUUCCCCAGUUACACUUGGAUGCAGUAAAUCGGAUGUAAAAGCUAAGAACUGAUACAAAAUCACUAUUUCUAAUAAUGUUAAUUAUAAAAGCCAGUAUGUUCCUGGCCCACAAAUAAUCAGAAUGAAAUAAAAAAUCAAACACCCCCGUUUGCCCAUUAUUGUUUUACUUAACUUCAGAUUGUGUGUGUGUGUAUGUAUGAUCUCACCAGGGAAAAAUUCUGUGUAAUUCUGGAUAAAAUAUAACGCUAAUGAACUGACUAGUAACUGCAUAGCUGUAGUAUUUAAAACUGUGAUUAUUCCAACUGUGAUUAUAUCCAGUUACCAAGGAUACUGAAAGUUCAGGAUCUUCAUUUUUGUAUAUUAUUCCACAGCCUUAUAUUCUUUACACAUAAAAAAAGAAUGAUGCUUCCCAAAUAGCGUCAAUAUAGCGAUAUAUUAACUUUUCUUUUUAGCAAACAUGACACUAAACGUCAUAUUCAUUCAUGAGAGAAGAGUUAAGCAAAUUACAAAUGGAAUUUUCUCUUUUCUGCUGAUUUACACUUUAUUUUCUAUGCAUUUCUGGUCAUUUCUAUAUGUGUAUAGAUAAUUUUCAUAACACUAUAUAUGUUUUCACUGAAAAGAACCUGUUAUUUAGGAAUCUUCACAAAGAGUGAAGAGCAUGACAAAAAGUACAUAAUAAGAGAAUAGUGCAGGUUUUAUACUCCUUAUUUGCAUUUAACUGUUUUAACAACUAUCACCUCAAAAUAAAAAGGAGGUGAAUAGCAAAUUUGUUAAGUUUUUGCUGUUUGGAGACAGUAAGAGAUGAAGAGAUGCUACUAAGCCCUCUGAAUACCAAACUGGAAUAAUAAUAAAGCUGUCUUUUAAAAUAACAUGCUUGUGCCUGUCAGUAGCUGCUUUAUUUGAGUUUUUCAUUGCUUUGUUUAUAUUAGUGCCCCCUCCCUCCUGGGUGCCUCUAGAAUUAAACAAGCAGGUAUUUACCACCAACUUAAUCUUUAGUUUUAAAAAUAUAGACCAAACUCUAAGGUUCUCUAAAUUUUUUAUAUUUAUUUAUUGCAGAAAAAUAUACAAAGAUAUUUACAAAACAAUCAUAAAAAUAUGAAUGCAUUUAGACACCGGAUCUAUUUGCAUUUUACCAUGGGUCCUCAAUAAAUAAAUAGAAUGUUGUUUUUUGUAUUUUAAGUUUUUUUUUGUUUUUCCCCUCAGAGGAAGGAUGAAAAAAAGAAUUAACUGACUAUGGUUUUGCAGGCCAGUUUGAUCCCAGUAUUUUUAUUUCUAAAGGUGUUCUUAUAGUUCCUCUGAUUGUUACCAUUUUAAAAUAGAGAAAGUCCAUAGUGAUGCCUUUCCUUUCAGUGGCUGAUUGGCACGACCUCUUGAGAAUGCAUGCAUGAAAAAAAUAAAAAUAAAAACAUUCUUCGUCAAAAAAAAAAAAAAAAAAAA
rnacentral:lncRNA from 1 species